rnacentral:rRNA from 1 species
UACGGAGGGAGCUAGCGUUGUUCGGAAUUACUGGGCGUAAAGCGUGCGUAGACGGUUAUGUAAGUCAGAUGUGAAAGCCCAGGGCUCAACCUUGGAAUUGCAUUUGAGACUGCAUAGCUAGGGUGCGGAAGAGGGAAGCGGAAUUUCCGGUGUAGCGGUGAAAUGCGUAGAUAUCGGAAGGAACACCAGUGGCGAAAGCGGCUUCCUGGUCCAGCACCGACGUUCAGGCACGAAAGCGUGGGGAGCAAACAGG